CAGUCCGGUUAAUUUUGCACAUGUACUACGUCAGCUGGAUCCAAAUUGGCUUAAACGAGGUAAAAUGAGUCAGCACCGUUAUGAAAAGGAAGCGUCCCCUAGUUUGAAUCAAUUCUUGUGAACGGUUUAAUCAACAAGGUUUAAGUAAGUAAUGUGAAUGUUUUUGUAGCGCUGCCGUCGGAACAUUACGAAUUACAGUGGUCGGAUUAUGCUUUGAAAAGCCACGUUUAAGCCACGGUCACCCCGUGACUGGAACAUGGAAUGUGCUUAGCUGGCAAAUUUACAAAACACAGAUUUCAUUAGGAUUAGAGAGAUGGUAAGUUUUGAGCUCGGUGAAGAAAUAGAGAGAGAUGUGUUUCGUCUUGUCACUAGCGUGGGACAAAGAAAAAAUUCUGAGUUCCCAUGAGGAAUCGAACCUCCGAUGCUCUACCACUGAGACUCUUCGUUGAGCGAGUUCUAUUACGAAGUUCAUGUGACGCGCGUCUUGCAUACUGCUAGGAUCAGCAAUGUCGAUAGCGUCAUAUUUGUAGAUAGAAUAAGACAGAUGGUAAGGUUUGAGCUCGGUAAAGAAAUAGAGAAUGGUUUCAUUGUUUGUAUCUCAGAUAAUAUUCAAAUAAUCUUAGUCACAGACUAGUAUCACGAGUUAUAUAGGGAUUGGGUUUGACACGGAAAAAACGUCCGCAAAAAAAAAUCGAAUGAAUAUCAAACAGCCCGGGACUAAAAAUUAUUCAUGUUCAAUGUCAUCUCGGGCAACCAUUAGUUUAAAACAUUACUAAAUGAUUAAAAAUGACACCAUAGCUUUUAAUAUGCUAAGGUUGUUAUAAGACUUAACGUAACCUUUGAAGACUUCAAGGUUCAUUUCAUUCACACUGCUUUGCGUCCUAGGUGAUAUUGGUUGCUUUUAAUAUUGAUUUUUUUUUUCGGAAGGGAUGCGAUUCAAAGGAAAGGAAGAUUAUUUCAUAACAAAAUAAACUCAUAAAAAAUAUUGUUUCCAGAAGUUUUUACCGCUUGCACUUGAACCGCUAGAAAGUUCCCUCUUCGGCUUCGGCUAAAUCAUUGACUACUUUAAUGAAAAAACGUAUGUGAUGAGAUGACAUGUAAAAAGGAAGAACUUGCAACAUAAUUAAGGUAACUCACAAAAAUGGAAAAGUCACGAUAUCUUCCGCAGACGAAAAGGUGCAUCACGAAAUGACUUUAGAAGGUGUUGCACUUUGUCUUCGACUUUGUCCUCGACCAAUACUGGUAAUAUGGGUGUUUCUUAAUUGAGUUAUUUGUUUGUCGCUUUACGUCAUCUUGAUAACAAUGGCUGCUAGAAUUUUCCAUCUGUUAGUAAGGUUCGACAAAUUAUAACUUUUGUUGAACGAAGCUAACACGAAACCCACUUUUCUCUCCAUGGUCUCACGAAUCUGCUGGUUGUUACUUCACGACACGAUAGACCUUGAUUCACGUGAAAACAUCACUCGCGGAGAAAAAAAAAACAUUGCGCAAAAUUCCUCUGUAUUAAGCUCAUAUAGAAACUCGCUGACAAUAGACAGAGCGUAAGGGUACAUGGAUUAAUUCUUUAUGAUUUUGUCGGUCAUUUUGGGCAAAAAGUACCGCAUUUCCUAAGAUUUAGGAGAAAUCACUUUAAAUUUCUCCAUUUGAAAGAAGUUGGCUUCUAUGAAAUAACGCGUUUUUGAUAAUAAGAAUGAUAAUGGUAAUAAUUAUGAUGGAAAAAUUAUAUUAAUACUUAAUUCUCA